UGGGGAAUAUUGCACAAUGGGCGCAAGCCUGAUGCAGCCAUGCCGCGUGUAUGAAGAAGGCCUUCGGGUUGUAAAGUACUUUCAGUCGGGAGGAAGGUGGUAAGGUUAAUAACCUUAUCAAUUGACGUUACCGACAGAAGAAGCACCGGCUAACUCCGUGCCAGCAGCCGCGGUAAUACGGAGGGUGCAAGCGUUAAUCGGAAUUACUUGGCGUAAAGCGCACGCAGGCGGUUUGUUAAGUCAGAUGUGAAAUCCCCGGGCUCAACCUGGGAACUGCAUCUGAUACUGGCAAGCUUGAGUCUCGUAGAGGGGGGUAGAAUUCCAGGUGUAGCGGUGAAAUGCGUAGAGAUAUGGAGGAAUACCGGUGGCGAAGGCGGCCCCCUGGACGAAGACUGACGCUCAGGUGCGAAAGCGUGGGGAGCAAACAGG
rnacentral:rRNA from 1 species